GACGAACGCUGGCGGCGUGCUUAACACAUGCAAGUCGAACGGAAAGGCCCUGCUUUUGUGGGGUGCUCGAGUGGCGAACGGGUGAGUAACACGUGAGUAACCUGCCCUUGACUUUGGGAUAACUUCAGGAAACUGGGGCUAAUACCGGAUAGGAGCUCCCGCUGCAUGGUGGGGGUUGGAAAGUUUUGGCGGUUGGGGAUGGACUCGCGGCUUAUCAGCUUGUUGGUGGGGUAGUGGCUUACCAAGGCUUUGACGGGUAGCCGGCCUGAGAGGGUGACCGGCCACAUUGGGACUGAGAUACGGCCCAGACUCCUACGGGAGGCAGCAGUGGGGAAUAUUGCACAAUGGGCGGAAGCCUGAUGCAGCAACGCCGCGUGCGGGAUGACGGCCUUCGGGUUGUAAACCGCUUUCGCCUGUGACGAAGCGUGAGUGACGGUAAUGGGUAAAGAAGCACCGGCUAACUACGUG
rnacentral:rRNA from 1 species